rnacentral:rRNA from 1 species
AGCGAACGCUGGCGGCAGGCCUAACACAUGCAAGUCGAACGAACUCUUCGGAGUUAGUGGCGGACGGGUGAGUAACACGUGGGAACGUGCCUUUUGGUUCGGAAUAACUCAGGGAAACUUGUGCUAAUACCGAAUGUGCCCUUCGGGGGAAAGAUUUAUCGCCAUUCGGGCGGCUCGCGUCUGAUUAGCUAGUUGGUGAGGUAACGGCUCACCAAGGCGACGAUCAGUAGCUGGUCUGAGAGGAUGACCAGCCACACUGGGACUGAGACACGGCCCAGACUCCUACGGGGGGCAGCAGUGGGGAAUCUUGCGCAAUGGGCGAAAGCCUGACGCAGCCAUGCCGCGUGAAUGAUGAAGGUCUUAGGAUUGUAAAAUUCUUUCACCGGGGACGAUAAUGACGUUACCCAGAGAAGAAGCCCCGGCUAACUUCGUG